UGACCCCUUUUUACUUCCCUUACCAAGACUUAACGGGGUUAUAAUUAGUCUUCUUAUCCACCAGUGAAGGGAUUGGUGGAAAUACUGUAUCGU
rnacentral:ncRNA from 1 species